rnacentral:lncRNA from 1 species
UGGCCUAGGGAAGAAGUUCAAAAUAAAACUGUGGAGUUCAAGAUGAAGAAACUCCAGCAUUCAAAAGGCAGUAAUGGAGGAUAGGCUGAGAAGAAAAAUCUUAGAGAUGGAGGAGUGUUCCUGUGUUCUGGAAGCUUGGGAAAGAUCAUGAAGAGAAUGAAGAUCAUUAACAGAAUGAGCAUGAAAGAUCAUGAAGAUCACUAAGAGAAUGGCCCAAGCAAGAACUCAUCAAGACGGCAGAUGUGAGCAGAAGGCAGAUAAGUAGGAGAAAAAACAAAUGUUGGGAACUGUAGGGAAAAAAAAGAGACUUUUUCUAGGAGCUGUCUGCAAAAAGGGAUGCUCAAGAUAAGGUGCUCAUUAAUGAGGAGUUGAGAACAAUGAUUUUUUUAUCUCUAAAAAUGGGAAGAUCAUGCGUAAGUUAUCUAAAAUCAUUGUGAAAGAUCUCAUUAAAUGUGCUGGAGACAGACAAGGAAUAAUUGAGAUUUUAAGAUUCUUGAUCAAGCAGGGAAGUCUGUCUUAGAAUAAGGGGUGAGGGAUAACCUCAAAUGAGAGAGGGGACUGCCUGCUUGAAGUUACCGGGACAGAAGAAGAGGAUGUAGGAGCACUUGCUCCUUGAAUGAAGAUGAAUGAGUCAGAGAGUUCA